UACGAAAGGAGCAGGUGUUAUUCAGAUUAACUGGGCGUAAAGGGCACGUAGGUGGUUUGUUAUGUGUACUAUUAAAUUGUAAAGCCUAACUUUACAACGUAGUACAGACAACUAAGCUAGAGUUAGGUAGAGAGUAGUAGAAUUUCUAAUGUAAAGGUGAAAUUUGAUAAAAUUAGAGAGAAUACCAAUGGCGUAGGCAACUACUUAGGCCUUAACUGACACUGAGGUGCGAAGGUAUGGGGAGCAAAUAGG
rnacentral:rRNA from 1 species